CAGCAGCCGCGGUAAUACAGAGGGUGCGAGCGUUAAUCGGAAUUACUGGGCGUAAAGCGCACGUAGGCGGCUUGGCAUGUCGGGUGUGAAAUCCCCGGGCUCAACCUGGGAACUGCAUCCGAAACUGCCUUGCUAGAGUAUGGGAGAGGGAAGUGGAAUUUCCGGUGUAGCGGUGAAAUGCGUAGAUAUCGGAAGGAACAUCAGUGGCGAAGGCGACUUCCUGGACCAAUACUGACGCUCAGGUGCGAAAGCGUGGGGAGCAAACAGGAUUAGAUACCCUGGUAGUCCACGCCCUAAACGAUGACAACUAGAUGUCGGGAGGGUUUGCCUUCCGGUGUCGUAGCUAACGCGUUAAGUUGUCCGCCUGGGAAGUACGGCCGCAAGGUUGAAACUUAAAGGAAUUGACGG
rnacentral:rRNA from 1 species